rnacentral:misc_RNA from 1 species
GGAAGAGCAAGGUUUCAGGGUGGGUUAAUUCGACUUCAGGAAACUUAACUACAACAGUUUCCAGGGAAGUUAAAUUUAAGAAUAAGAUACAGUUCUAUCUUAAUGGUACUGAAAAAAGGGUAAUACAGAAUGUGAGAGAAGAAACUAUAGUAAGUGUACUGUCUGAUACAGGUAUCAGGAUUUCUCGGACCACUACAAAGAAGACAUAUCCACUUAGCAUGACCACUAAGAAUUCACCUUCAUCAGAGAAUGAUACAAGCUUGAUGCUUACUGACCUAGACCAUGAAUGGAGGGGGAAGAAGUCCAUUGGGGAUUUAUCAAUCUCCUUGAUAAAUAGGCAGAAAUGCAAUGGUUGGAUGGUCGUUCAAGAUCAUGAUGUUCUAUCUGGUGGUGCCACCACUCAACAAGCUUAUUCUUAUAGGGC